GUCUAUGGCCAUACCACCUUGAGCACACCCAAUCUUGUCUGAUCUCAGAAGCUAAGCAGAGUCUCAGAAGCUAAGCAGGGUCGGGCCUGGUCAGUUCUCAGAUGGGAGAAUUUACUCUCUGUUUCCGCAGAGA
rnacentral:rRNA from 1 species